rnacentral:sRNA from 1 species
CUUUUGCGUGAGCGAUUGCAGUGGAAAUCCUUUUUUUUGUGGCUGAGCUUGACGAAGCCGCCGAAAAAAAGAUUGUAACGGAAAGCACGGUCUUUU